GGUUUCCACAACGAUGAUUGUUUUAGCUACGAGAGCUUGGGGAUCUUUGUGGCAUUUUAUUGCAUACCAUCUGCAUCAUCGAUCAUAACUUUCCUAUGGAUGCCAGAUAGUCCUAAGUACUUUCUUAAGGGUCUGUCUGGUUUUGAAAAGCUACAAGUAUUGGUGGUGUCUUGAUGGGCAUUAAUUUUGAUUGUGUUAUGUCUGUUCUUUUUGAAAUUUUGAAGAAGAUCUACCGUUGGAACAACAAGGGAGACAAAGCCAACAAUUAUCUACUUAUAGUGUGAUCAUCUCCGGCAUCAGUUUGCUCUUCAUUUGGUUCCUAAAAAGAAGAACACAUGUACUCAUCAUGUCAGGCAUGCAUGGCACCAUUCCAUGUCGUCAACAUCGAACUCUAUCCUACAUGUUGGAGGAGUACCUCACUGGGUUUCAUGUCAAUGGUGAACAGGAUAUAGAAGCCAUCUUGGAACACUACUGUUUCGCUUUCUUACAGAUGUCUACUUUGCAGCACCAAUGAUCCUAGCUGCGAUGUUGUUGGGGAUAGGCAAUCUAGCAGCUCUGAUUCUGCCGGAUUCCACCAACAUUGAACUUACAUAAACUCAAGAGGAAUACUAAUUUAAAGGAGGUUUCAAACUUGUGGAGUAUUUCCUAAAGCAAGUAAUCAGUUAUUUUCACUGACUUCCGUUGUGGGCCAUGUGGAUGCAAGGAUUUGAAAAGCUUAUAACGGUUGACAGUGAAAAUCACUGACUACUUUGUUUCAUAAAAUGGUCACUUUAUCAGUUAAUUACACAUCUUGCUUUUACAUAUAUUAUAUAUGGCUUGUCUUUCUGUUAUUUUAAAUAUGAUAGAUUCAGAAUUCAUAGAUCCAUCUGAAGCAUCAGCAACCAUGGUUUCUUAAAAAUAUUUUGUUAUGGUGCUGAUAUUAUGAAUGGGUAUUACAUAUACAUGUACUUAUAUUGAUAUACUUGGACGUAGAGAUGGAAAGCCAGAAGUUUAUAUGCCAUUGUCACGUUGGGAAGUCUCUAGUGCAGCAAUUAAUUGGUAAACCAUGGUCAUGCUUAAAUGCUGAUGUGUGCAUGGUUUGUAAUGUGCAUCUUGUUGAUUAAUAGGCAGUUGUGCCCAUCCUCUUAGCAUGAUUUGACCAAUGCAGUGGUGCCUUUUAUCCCGCACACAAAUGGGAAUCUUAAGUCCGACUCCAAGUCACGCUUAUAAUCUUUAUAUGGACAAUGAACUGGAUGUCUCAACUGGUUUCAGCUGGUUAUGACUGGUUCAGAUUGGUAUCCUGAUAAAAAGUGUAAUGGUUCUCCAAGUGGUAAAUCAUAAAAGGGCCAAUUUGGUUUAGAAGAGAUGGAAUGAAGGAGAGGAAGAUGAAACAGUGAGGUCAUUUUGUAAAUCAUAUAUUUAUUGAUUUUUGUCUAGAAAUUGAUGUUUAGCAAUUCGGGCAUGCAACAAUGAUCUUCAUCUUGACUGGCCACUUCCAAUUUGCAAAUAAUACGACCAUUCCACAGAGAGCAAGACUUCUGAAAGACUGCUGUAAGACCAUGAAUCUUAAUUGGCUUUUCACGGGUCCUUCAAUGAACUUUCAAAGAUCUCUGAGGUCUUUUACAGUUCCUGAUUGAUCUUUCAGUGGUCUUUGUGGUCUCCAUGAUCUCCAAAACUUUUUGAAACAGGUCAAAACAGUCUUUCAGAAAAAUGGUCUCAUGGCCUUUCAGCAGUCUCUUGAUCAGCUUUCAAAGUUUUUAUUAGUCUUUCCAUGAUCUUUAAACCCCAUUCCACAGAGAGCAAGACCUCUGAAAGACUGCUGUAAGAGCAUGAAGCUUGAUCUUUCAAAGGUCUUUCAAUCAACUUUCAAAGAUCUCAGGUCUUUCACUAUUCCUGAUGGAUCUUUCAGUGGUCUUCAUGGUCCUCGUGAGUCCCAAAGCUUUUUUAAACGGUUCAAAACAGUAUUUCAGGAAAAUGGUCUUUAAGUGGUCUUUCUAUGAACUUUCAAAGUUCUUAUGUCUUUUCAUGAUCUUUCAGCAGUCUCAAGAUUUUUGCGGAGAUCACUGUAAGACUCGUGAGAGAUCAUUGAAAGACCAGGAAAAAAUCCCAUGGAAAGAAUUCUGAAAGAUCACUUGUUGCAUAAAAGAUCUCUGAAAGACCAGUGAAAGAUCUCUAUAGGACUAGUCCGAGCCCAGUUAGACAAGAAGUAUCAAUCAGUCUUUCUGAGUCUUUCGGAGCCAUUCCACAGAGAUGACAAAUUUCAGUGACCUUUGAGACUGCUGUAAAACUUCAAAGGUCUCCCUUCUGUGGAAUGGGGGCCUUAUUGCAAACAGGGUCCUGUGGACUUUUCCAUCCUGUAGACCUUUUGACACUGGAAGUGGUUUCAGAAUUUAUCACCAGUCGCCAUUGUUAUGAUAGAUAUUUUGUAUUAUGGUUUGUGACAUGAGAUAACAAAUGAUUAUAUAAUCAAUUGUAUCGUUUAUAAAGUAACAGGACCCCGAGUUUGUAUACUUGUACACAUAUAUUUGUGGAGGUGUCGUGGUGUAGUGGUUCAGUCACUUGACUCUUAAACCAAGGGUCGAGGGUUCGAAUCUCACCCGACGCUAAUUUCCUUUGGCAAGGCACUUAUCCACGUCUGUCACUCUCCACCCAGUGAUGGAUCCUAUGACUGGGGUAAUAAUAAUACCAAUGUAAAGCGCUUAUAAACCAACCUAUGAAGCGCUAUAAACGUAAAUAUUAUAUCACUGAUUAAGGUGGGUCAGCUUCUAAGACAUUGGAAACAAUCUUGUUUAAGAAGUAUAACAUGCAUAACAUUAGACUAUUAGUCAAUCACUGUAUUGUUUGAUGAAUCGUUCUUGGGUUUUUUUACAGGAAAAUAUGCAUUUCAUAUUUCAUUCUUUAUGUGGAAUGGUUAUUUUGCAUAUAGAGUAAACUUUUCUGAUUUGCAUAUAGCUCUAUCUAUCACUUUAAUGAACAUUUACAACAUAAUUUGUGAAAUUUGAAAAGUUUUAAAUCAGUUUUGAGACGCCUAAGUAUGAUCAUAUUGCGAGAUCCUAUAGAAUGAUAAAUGUAUUAUUAUUCAUUGAUGUGCCUGGGUGCCGUUUCAUAAAGCUGUUCGUAAGUUAAGAGUGACUUUACGCGCUAAACCAUCGCCAAUGAAUAUACCAUUCACCACCGGAAAGGAUCACCAGUCGUUCUUAAAGUCGCUCUUAACCUACAAACAGCUUUAUGAAAAACCCAACUGGUCAUAUGUAUGAUUAUGUUCAUUUUUAGUAAAGGAAAGUUUGAUUUAAUGAGUUUUAUAAUCCUUUUAAAGACAUUUACAACUAAGCAGUAGCCAGAUUGCGUACAAGUUCCAUCAUUCUUAUACCAAACUCCUGAAAGUUAAAUGUUGAUAUUCAAAGGGUUGGGUAAGUUUAAUAUUUGACACAAGUAGUGUGAUUCUUUUGCAUAAAGAUUAUAGAAAAUUUUGUUGACUACAUUUCAAACCAGUCUAAAGUGUAAUUAAAGUUUCAGUAGUUAUAUCUAACUGUAAUUUUUCCAUUUCAAUCCUACAAAAGUGGAGUGGCCGUUUUAUCAUCUUUCAUCAACUUGAAUUUGUUGGUUCAGAUUCAGAUUUAGCAAACUCUCUCAGUAAUGUUUUUUCGCUUUAUGAAUAAAGACAUUUCGACUGAAAUUGAGAGAUUACAUAUCAGAAAGCUGUAUUAUACAAUAAUUGUAUCAUAAUGUUCUCAUCUCCAAAAAAAUAUGUAUUUUUCUCACCAUUUAUUAAUUAAAAUAUUUUAUUCCUUAAAUAUCAGACUUGGAGGUCAUAUCUUUCACACAAUAUGCGUUUUACAUGCACGUUCUUUCAUUUUAUGGGACCGUUAAUUUGAGUUUUGAAAAUGAAUAAUGUUUAGAUUUUCCAAAGACUAUUCAGGCUUUAACGAGAAACAUUAAGAAAUUAUUCCUUUCAUAUAAGUAAAAAAGAAAUGAAAAUAAAAAUUACAGUAAAACAUUUUCAUCAUGCAUCAAAUUGAUUUGUACAAUUUUGGUGAUAAUCUUCAUACCGUGUAUGUUUCAUAUUUUGUGUCUUCUUUAUUGAUCGAGCUACUACCAAGAAUUCAAUGGUUGAAUAAAUGUUGUGGAUGAUUGUAUG